ensembl:lncRNA novel transcript
CCAGAUCCCUGCAGCUGCAGCCCCUGUGGGCCCCUGAGAGCCUAGAGACACCAAGAUGGCUGAAGUGCAGUCACCAUCCUUAGGGAGAGGCGAGAAAGACAGGCCAUAGAGCUGAAAAUUACAACACAGUAUGGCCUGGCAACAGUGGAACUCAGAGCAAGAAACAGAGGAGGGAUCCAUCAAUUCUGGGGAAGUUUCAGAAUAGGAGGGAGCUUCACUCCACGCAGAGGAAGGGGCUCCUGCAAACACUGGAGGAAAGAACAUCCUCUGUGACGUCACAGAGUAUGAGGCUCCUAGUUCUAAUAGGAUUGGAUGGGGGUUGUGCUGCUGUGAGAGAUGCAGUGUUGCUCACAUUAUCUUCCAAAUGGAUUCACUUUCAUUAAAAUGACAAUUGUUUUACAGUCAUAA